CUUCAAUUUACUUAUCUCAGCCUAUCAUUCCAUUUUCAUUCCCCUCACAUUUAUUUUAUUUUAUUUUUUGUUUUUUGAGACAGGGUCUUGCUAUGAAGUUCAGGCUGGCUUUGAACUCACUAUGUAGCCUAGACUGAACUCAUACGCGAGGUAAUCCUUCUGCUUCAGCCUCCAGAGUGCUGGGAUUUCAAGUGUGCACCACCACAUCAGGCCUUGCCACCAAAUUUGUAACAGAAAUGUGACCUAAAUGAGAUGGGCUGUUAUUCCCCAAACAUUUCUUUUUUCUUUUCCUUACUGAAAAUAUCCCCUACUCUCUUUUUCACAUGUUAAAAUAACCAUAAAUUUCAAGUUCUUAUUAAAGUCUUCCUCAAUAUUGUAACCUGUAUCAAUCCAUUCUGGUUUAACUGACACGUUAUUAUAAAUGUCAGUAACAUGUUGCCUAUCCACAGUUGUCAGAGCUGUUGAUAGAAAUUUCUGCAGUGAUGGAAAUAUACUAUAUCUGAGAUGCCCAAUAUGGAAUCCACCAGCCACACAUGUUGCUAAGUGCUUAAAAUGUGGCUAGUACAACUGAGAUAUUAAUUUUCUCAUUUUAUUUUAAUUCUUUAAAUUUAAAAUUAAACUGUUCGUGUGCUAUGGCUUUGUAUUCCUUGGUGAGAAUAUAUACUACUGAAGAAAUUAGUGCCUUAUUGUAUACCUAUGUAUGUGAUGACUAUAGUAGUAUUUAUUAAAUUUUGUGUGUUUAAUGCAUUGUUUGACUACUGCAUUUGCUUCUGCAAUAUUAUCUUAAAGAAGUCUUUUCCCUANNNNNAUUGUACAAAUGAUAUUUGCCUUAUUUUUUUCUUAAUUUUAAUGGCUUAAAAUCCAUCAGAAUUGCAUCAUAUCACUACUUGGACCCUUCAUCACUAUACAAACAAAACAAGGUUAGGAAUGAUUUGGACUGAACCACUGAAUAAGAAAGCU
rnacentral:lncRNA from 1 species